rnacentral:rRNA from 1 species
UACGUAGGGUGCAAGCGUUGUCCGGAAUUAUUGGGCGUAAAGAGCUCGUAGGCGGUCUGUCGCGUCGGAUGUGAAACCUCGGGGCUCAACCCCGAGCCUGCAUUCGAUACGGGCAGACUAGAGUUCGGUAGGGGAGACUGGAAUUCCUGGUGUAGCGGUGAAAUGCGCAGAUAUCAGGAGGAACACCGGUGGCGAAGGCGGGUCUCUGGGCCGAUAUUGACGCUGAGGAGCGAAAGCGUGGGGAGCGAACAGG